rnacentral:rRNA from 1 species
GACGAACGCUGGCGGCGUGCCUAAUACAUGCAAGUUGAGCGCUGAAGGUUGGUACUUGUACCGACUGGAUGAGCAGCGAACGGGUGAGUAACGCGUGGGGAAUCUGCCUUUGAGCGGGGGACAACAUUUGGAAACGAAUGCUAAUACCGCAUAAAAACUUUAAACACAAGUUUUAAGUUUGAAAGAUGCAAUUGCAUCACUCAAAGAUGAUCCCGCGUUGUAUUAGCUAGUUGGUGAGGUAAAGGCUCACCAAGGCGAUGAUACAUAGCCGACCUGAGAGGGUGAUCGGCCACAUUGGGACUGAGACACGGCCCAAACUCCUACGGGAGGCAGCAGUAGGGAAUCUUCGGCAAUGGACGAAAGUCUGACCGAGCAACGCCGCGUGAGUGAAGAAGGUUAUCGGAUCGUAAAACUCUGUUGGUAGAGAAGAACGUUGGUGAGAGUGGAAAGCUCAUCAAGUGACGGUAACUACCCAGAAAGGGACGGCUAACUACGUG